CCGCUGGGAGGACAGCUGGCUUUUGUCAGCCUUUCAGGAGUCGGGCUGUGUUGGACCAAGCAGGCUGCCUGGCACUGCCCGUGGCAGCGGCUACCAGGCAGGCAGAAGCUGAUUUCCAGAGCCGGAACCAAGUGGCCGGCACAAGGGGGGCCAGGUUCUCACAGUUAAGACCAGCAAGCUCACGCAGGAAGCCAAUUUUUGCCCCUCUGGGCCUCAGUUUCCCCUCAGUCCACCUCCCCUCUGACCCCCUCCUGGGCCUGAGAGGAGCACUGGACCUAAGCGAGCCCGUGGCCAUGCCCCCUGCCGCCUGCCGGUGGAACCAGAUGUCCAGCAGCGCGGCCAGCUUGGAACAUGCGGUCAGGAGAACUCCUACGCAUCCUACAGAACUCCAGGUGAGAUGCCCCCUCUCUGAAAAUGGCUCACAGGCUUGCUCUGAGAACCAAAGAAGAACAUACAUGUGUGAACACACAGGCAUGGCACCAAGUAAAAGCCUAGAUUGCCUUGAAGAGACUGUUGGUGCAAUUAUGGACAUCAAAGACAAUUCUGGUAAAGGCUCAGAAGGAAGUGAGGAGAGCUGUAACACUGGAGAUGGCGCAAAUAGCAAGAAGCAGCAGUAGAACCAGGAGACUGACACUAGAUGGUAGGGAGCUGACCCAUGGAGCAAGAGAGCUGAGUGCCUUCGGGCAAGAGGCUUCCUGGAGAAGUGGGGUGCCUCUGGGCACUUACUGGUAGAGCUAAAGAGUUUUGUAACAAUUGCCCCAGCAGGCAGGCCCAAGAGGCCUGAGGGGCUGAGGGUCCGAAGGGCUGAGAGCCCAAGGAACCAGGAAGCAGAAGCUGAAGGGACUAGGAGCACAGGAAGCAGAGCUGCCUAAGUCUCAAAGGGUGGAACCACAGCCUGCUGGGUCUCUAAGGGUGGGGCCAGGCCUCCUUGGUUUCAAAGAGUCAGAGAUCUCUAACAAUUCUAUUCCAGAGUGUGGAGCUGCCUUUCACAAGUGCCAGCGGAAUGGGGCCAGAUCCUCUGCCCGAAGCUGAGGAGGUGGGGCUGCCAUGUCCAAGGGGCAGAAGAGUGGGGCCAGCCAGAGCCAAGGCAGUAGGGUUGCCACUCAGACAGACUAGAAGAAUGGGGCUGCCCAAAUUCGAGGUCUCAGUGGGCCUGGAAGGUGGAGCUGAAGCCCAAGGCCAAGGGGCCUCCACCCAGAAUCUGGAGAGUGUGGCCAACACCCAGAGUCUGGAGGGCAGGGCCACUGCCUAAAUGGUUUCAGAGAACAGAGGAUUAUUUGCAAGCCUUGAGAGCUAAUGUAGUGUGUCCUGCUGACUUGCCUGGUGCCUGUUACCCCUUCUUUCCCUUCAGUUUCUCCCAUUUGUAACUGAAAGGUCUGGCAUGUGUCUGUUCCAUCAUUGUGCUUUGGAAGCCAAGAACUUGUAUUCUAGAGUUCACAGAUGAAGAAGAAUUUUGCAGAAGAUGAGAUUUUGGUCUUGGAGUUGAUUUAAGAUUUUUGGGAUAAUACAAUGGGGUGAAUGUGUUUUACAUGUGGGAAAGGCAUAAAUUUGGUGGGGGCCAAAAGGUGGAAUGUUACAGAUUGAAUUAUGUCCCCUCCCAGAAUGUGCGUCAACUUGGCUAGGCCAUUUUUCUCAGUAUUGUGUGGUUGUCCACCAUUUUGUGAUCUGAUGUGAUCAUCCUGUGUGUUGUAAAUCCUUAGCUCUAUGAUGUUAAAGAGGCAGGAUUAGAGGCAGUUAUGUUAAUGAGUCAGGACUCAAUCUACAAGAUCAAGUCACAUCUUGAGUCAAUCUCUUUUGAGAUAUAAAAGAGAGAAGCAACCUUCUACCACCAAGAAAGAAGAGCCAGGAGGGGAGUGUGUCCUUUGGACCUGGGGUCCCUAUGAUGAGAAACUUCUAAACCCAGAGGAAUAUUGAUGACAAGGAUCUUCUCCCAGAGUCGACAGAAAGAGAAAGCCUUCCCUUGGAGCUGGCACCCUGAAUUCAAACUUCUAGCCUCCUAAACUGUGAGAGAAUAAAUUUCUGUUUGUUGAGACCACCCACUUGUGGUAUUUCUGUUAUAGCAGCACUAGAUAACCAGGACAGAUCAGAAAGCAUUUCCCAGAGCUGGCCUCCUCCCUAAAGAGCUUUGGUGGCAAAGUGGUUAAUUGCUUGACUACUAACCAAAAGGUCAGUGAUUUGAACCCACCAGCCGCUCCGUGGGAGAAAUAUGUGGCAGUCUGCUUCCAUAAAGAUUACAGUCAUGGUAACUCUAUGGGGCAGUUCUACCCUGUCUUAUAGGGUCCUUAUGGGUCAGAAUCAACUCAAUGGCAAUGAAUUUGGUUUUGGUUUGGG